rnacentral:rRNA from 1 species
CGCGUGAGUGAAGAAGGCUUCGGGUUGUAAAGCUCUUUCAGCCGGGAAGAAAUCGUACAGGCUAAUACCCUGUGCGGAUGACGGUACCGGAAUAAGAAGCACCGGCUAACUACGUGCCAGCAGCCGCGGUAAUACGUAGGGUGCGAGCGUUAAUCGGAAUUACUGGGCGUAAAGCGUGCGCAGGCGGUUUUGUAAGACAGGCGUGAAAUCCCCGGGCUUAACCUGGGAACUGCGUUUGUGACUGCAAGGCUAGAGUACGGCAGAGGGGGGUGGAAUUCCACGUGUAGCAGUGAAAUGCGUAGAGAUGUGGAGGAACACCAAUGGCGAAGCAGCCCCCUGGGUCGAUACUGACGCUCAUGCACGAAAGCGUGGGUAGCAAACAGGAUUAGAUACCCUGGUAGUCCCGCCCUAAACGAUGUCAACUAGU